GAAGGCAGCCCCCCGGGAUAAUACUGACGUUCAUGCUCGAAAGCGUGGGUAGCAAACAGGAUUAGAUACCCUGGUAGUCCACGCCCUAAACGAUGUCGAUUAGCUGUUGGGCAACUUGAUUGCUUAGUAGCGUAGCUAACGCGUGAAAUCGACCGCCUGGGGAGUACGGUCGCAAGAUUAAAACUCAAAGGAAUUGACGGGGACCCGCACAAGCGGUGGAUGAUGUGGAUUAAUUCGAUGCAACGCGAAGAACCUUACCUGGUCUUGACAUGUACGGAAGAACUCAGAGACGAGUUUGUGCCUUCGGGAGCCGUAACACAGGUGCUGCAUGGCUGUCGUCAGCUCGUGUCGUGAGAUGUUGGGUUNNNNNNNNNNNNNNNGCGCAACCCUUGUCAUUAGUUGCCAUCAUUUAGUUGGGCACUCUAAUGAGACUGCCGGUGACAAACCGGAGGAAGGUGGGGAUGACGUCAAGUCCUCAUGGCCCUUAUGACCAGGGCUUCACACGUCAUACAAUGGUCGGUACAGAGGGUAGCCAAGCCGCGAGGUGGAGCCAAUCCCAGAAAACCGAUCGUAGUCCGGAUUGCACUCUGCAACUCGAGUGCAUGAAGUCGGAAUCGCUAGUAAUCGCAGGUCAGCAUACUGCGGUGAAUACGUUCCCGGGUNU
rnacentral:rRNA from 1 species